rnacentral:rRNA from 1 species
GACGAACGCUGGCGGCGUGCUUAACACAUGCAAGUCGAACGAUGAAGCCGGAGCUUGCUCCGGUGGAUUAGUGGCGAACGGGUGAGUAACACGUGAGCAAUCUGCCCUUGACUCUGGAUAACUGCGGGAAACUGUAGCUAAUACCAGAUACGACACCUUGGGGCAUCCCAGGGUGUGGAAAGAAUUUCGGUCAAGGAUGAGCUCGCGGCCUAUCAGCUAGUUGGUGAGGUAAUGGCUCACCAAGGCGACGACGGGUAGCCGGCCUGAGAGGGUGACCGGCCACACUGGAACUGAGACACUGUCCAGACUCCUACGGGAGGCAGCAGUGGGGAAUAUUGCACAAUGGGCGAAAGCCUGAUGCAGCAACGCCGCGUGAGGGAUGAAGGCCUUCGGGUUGUAAACCUCUUUUAGCAGGGAAGAAGCGAAAGUGACGGUACCUGCAGAAAAAGCACCGGCUAACUACGUGCCAGCCGCCGCCGUAA